AAACGGAAGUGAGUUUGAAUGAAACGGGAGAGAGUUUGAAUGAAACGGAAGUAAGUUUGAAUGAAACGGAAGGGAGUUUGAUUCCUCAGUUCCUGAUUGGCUGACAGAAGAAGCGGCAGCUUCUGUUCUGGCGGUCAAAAUACUGCGCCACUUUUGCACUCGCGAUGGAUAGAGAGAGACUCACAGAAGCUGUGGGUCUACUUAACAACAUUUUGGGAACUGGUGAGACAUUGUCCACCAUCUCUCAUCAAUUAAACCAGGCCCAGCAGGGCUCUGAGAUGCAGAGAUUAUUCAGGGGUCAAACUGCAAAUCCAGGCCCUGGCGCUUCUUUUUCUACCGGAGGACCCCGUUACCAAACCAGACAGAAUUUCGGCGGCUGGCCGUCGAGAUCCACCAGGAGGAGACCUUCUACCCCAAACCACCCUACCUUCCUAAAGGAUGUGAUAUUGUUACCAAGCUCAUCUUGGGACCUAGUGUGUAAACAUAAAACACGGAGAAAACUACAUGAUAGAGGCUUCAUAUUGAAUGCAUUCGAAAUACACAAGUCCUGGAACAGCCGGACUGUCAUCAUGGAGAUAGAGCAAGCCUUUAAAGAAAAAAUUCCUAUGGAUACAAGUAUUGAACUGUUGAUGGCUUGUGGGAACAAGCUGGUUGCUCCAAAGCUGCACAGCGGUCAAGAACUUGGCGGCCUUAUGCUACACAAGAUCUUCAAGGCAAAGGCUCUAUAUGUGAGGCCAUCAAAUGAUCUAUGUAAGUUGGACAGCACAGACUCCGAGGACAGUAUGGAGUUGGAUGAAGAGGACAAUAGGUCAGCAUCCAAUGAGCACAGUAUGACUACUAGGGGA